UCUCUCAAGGCUGUGUGGUGUGGUGGCCGCAUAGUGGCACCCUGGUGUUGGCCCUUGGUUGGGGGAGUGUGUCUGCCACUCCCUGGUAUCCUGCCCAUGCCACCCUUUCUGAUCUCUGACCUCUCUCCUGCAGCAACUGACCAACCACAUCCGGGAGUCGCUGCCGGCCCUACGUAGCAAACUACAGAGCCAGCUGCUGUCCCUGGAGAAGGAGGUGGAGGAGUACAAGAACUUUCGGCCCGACGACCCCACCCGCAAAACCAAAGCCCUGCUGCAGUAUGUACCCCGGCACCCACCACCACCACCACCCU
rnacentral:sRNA from 1 species